rnacentral:rRNA from 1 species
UACGAAGGGGGCUAGCGUUGCUCGGAAUCACUGGGCGUAAAGCGCACGUAGGCGGCUUUUUAAGUCAGAGGUGAAAUCCUGGAGCUCAACUCCAGAACUGCCUUUGAUACUGGAGAGCUUGAGUCCGGGAGAGGUGAGUGGAACUGCGAGUGUAGAGGUGAAAUUCGUAGAUAUUCGCAAGAACACCAGUGGCGAAGGCGGCUUACUGGUCCGGUACUGACGCUGAGGUGCGAAAGCGUGGGGAGCAAACAGG